UAUGAUCCAGUCUGAGCACACUGGGGC
rnacentral:piRNA from 1 species